UACGGAGGGGGCUAGCGCUGUUCGGAAUUACUGGGCGUAAAGCGCACGUAGGCGGCUUUGUAAGUUAGAGGUGAAAGCCCAGGGCUCAACCCUGGAAUUGCCUUUAAGACUGCAUCGCUUGAACAUCGGAGAGGUAAGUGGAAUUCCGAGUGUAGAGGUGAAAUUCGUAGAUAUUCGGAGGAACACCAGUGGCGAAGGCGGCUCACUGGUCCAUUACUGACGCUGAGGUGCGAAAGCGUGGGGAGCAAACAGG
rnacentral:rRNA from 1 species